rnacentral:rRNA from 1 species
GCAGUCGAGCGAACGGAUAAGGAGCUUGCUCCUUUGAAGUUAGCGGCGGACGGGUGAGUAACACGUGGGUAACCUACCUAUAAGACUGGGAUAACUUCGGGAAACCGGAGCUAAUACCGGAUAACAUUUAGAACCGCAUGGUUCUAAUGUGAAAGAUGGUUUUGCUAUCACUUAUAGAUGGACCCGCGCCGUAUUAGCUAGUUGGUAAGGUAACGGCUUACCAAGGCGACGAUACGUAGCCGACCUGAGAGGGUGAUCGGCCACACUGGAACUGAGACACGGUCCAGACUCCUACGGGAGGCAGCAGUAGGGAAUCUUCCGCAAUGGGCGAAAGCCUGACGGAGCAACGCCGCGUGAGUGAUGAAGGGUUUCGGCUCGUAAAACUCUGUUAUUAGGGAAGAACAAAUGUGUAAGUAACUGUGCACAUCUUGACGGUACCUAAUCAGAAAGCCACGGCUAACUACGUGCCAGCAGCCGCGGUAAUACGUAGGUGGCAAGCGUUAUCCGGAAUUAUUGGGCGUAAAGCGCGCGUAGGCGGUUUCUUAAGUCUGAUGUGAAAGCCCACGGCUCAACCGUGGAGGGUCAUUGGAAACUGGGAAACUUGAGUGCAGAAGAGGAAAGUGGAAUUCCAUGUGUAGCGGUGAAAUGCGCAGAGAUAUGGAGGAACACCAGUGGCGAAGGCGACUUUCUGGUCUGUAACUGACGCUGAUGUGCGA